GGGCGUUUGGCACAGUGGUAGCGCGCACGCUUUGCAUUGGAGAUUGCGUGAGGUCCAGGGUUCAAGCCCCUGAACGUCCA